rnacentral:rRNA from 1 species
UACGGAGGGUGCAAGCGUUUAUCCGGAUUCACUGGGUUUAAAGGGUGCGUAGGUGGGCAGGUAAGUCAGUGGUGAAAUCUCCGGGCUUAACCCGGAAACUGCCAUUGAUACUAUCUGUCUUGAAUACCGUGGAGGUGAGCGGAAUAUGUCAUGUAGCGGUGAAAUGCUUAGAUAUGACAUAGAACACCAAUUGCGAAGGCAGCUCACUAACACGAAUAUUGACACUGAGCACGAAAGCGUGGGGAUCAAACAGG